rnacentral:rRNA from 2 species
ACGGGAGGCAGCAGUGGGGAAUUUUGCGCAAUGGGCGAAAGCCUGACGCAGCAACGCCGCGUGCGGGACGAAGGCCUUCGGGUCGUAAACCGCUUUCAGGGGGGAAGAAACUGACGGUACCCCCAGAAGAAGCCCCGGCUAACUACGUGCCAGCAGCCGCGGUAAUACGUAGGGGGCGAGCGUUAUCCGGAUUCAUUGGGCGUAAAGCGCGCGUAGGCGGCUCGCUAAGCGGGACCUCUAAUCUUGGGGCUCAACCCCAAGCCGGGUCCCGAACUGGCGGGCUCGAGUGCGGUAGGGGCAGGCGGAAUUCCCGGUGUAGCGGUGAAAUGCGCAGAUAUCGGGAAGAACACCGAUGGCGAAGGCAGCCUGCUGGGCCGUCACUGACGCUGAGGCGCGAAAGCUGGGGGAGCGAACAGGAUUAGAUACCCUGGUA